rnacentral:rRNA from 1 species
GAUGAACGCUGGCGGCGUGCCUAAUACAUGCAAGUCGAGCGAACGGACGAGAAGCUUGCUUCUCUGAUGUUAGCGGCGGACGGGUGAGUAACACGUGGAUAACCUACCUAUAAGACUGGGAUAACUUCGGGAAACCGGAGCUAAUACCGGAUAAUAUUUUGAACCGCAUGGUUCAAAAGUGAAAGACGGUCUUGCUGUCACUUAUAGAUGGAUCCGCGCUACAUUGGCUAGUUGGUAAGGUAACGGCUUACCAAGGCAACGAUGCAUAGCCGACCUGAGAGGGUGAUCGGCCACACUGGAACUGAGACACGGUCCAGACUCCUACGGGAGGCAGCAGUAGGGAAUCUUCCGCAAUGGGCGAAAGCCUGACGGAGCAACGCCGCGUGAGUGAUGAAGGUCUUCGGAUCGUAAAACUCUGUUAUUAGGGAAGAACAUAUGUGUAAGUAACUGUGCACAUCUUGACGGUACCUAAUCAGAAAGCCACGGCUAACUACGUGCCAGCAGCCGCGGUAAUACGUAGGUGGCAAGCGUUAUCCGGAAUUAUUGGGCGUAAAGCGCGCGUAGGCGGUUUUUUAAGUCUGAUGUGAAAGCCCACGGCUCAACCGUGGAGGGUCAUUGGAAACUGGAAAACUUGAGUGCAGAAGAGGAAAGUGGAAUUCCAUGUGUAGCGGUGAAAUGCGCAGAGAUAUGGAGGAACACCAGUGGCGAAGGCGACUUUCUGGUCUGUAACUGACGCUGAUGUGCGAAAGCGUGGGGAUCAAACAGGAUUAGAUACCCUGGUAGUCCACGCCGUAAACGAUGAGUGCUAAGUGUUAGGGGGUUUCCGCCCCUUAGUGCUGCAGCUAACGCAUUAAGCACUCCGCCUGGGGAGUACGACCGCAAGGUUGAAACUCAAAGGAAUUGACGGGGACCCGCACAAGCGGUGGAGCAUGUGGUUUAAUUCGAAGCAACGCGAAGAACCUUACCAAAUCUUGACAUCCUUUGACAACUCUAGAGAUAGAGCCUUCCCCUUCGGGGGACAAAGUGACAGGUGGUGCAUGGUUGUCGUCAGCUCGUGUCGUGAGAUGUUGGGUUAAGUCCCGCAACGAGCGCAACCCUUAAGCUUAGUUGCCAUCAUUAAGUUGGGCACUCUAAGUUGACUGCCGGUGACAAACCGGAGGAAGGUGGGGAUGACGUCAAAUCAUCAUGCCCCUUAUGAUUUGGGCUACACACGUGCUACAAUGGACAAUACAAAGGGCAGCGAAACCGCGAGGUCAAGCAAAUCCCAUAAAGUUGUUCUCAGUUCGGAUUGUAGUCUGCAACUCGACUACAUGAAGCUGGAAUCGCUAGUAAUCGUAGAUCAGCAUGCUACGGUGAAUACGUUCCCGGGUCU